rnacentral:rRNA from 1 species
CCUACGGGUGGCAGCAGUGAGGAAUAUUGGGCAAUGGACGGAAGUCUGAACGAGCGACGCCGCGUGAAGGAAGAAGGAUUUCGGUAUGUAAACUUCUAUUAGCAGGGAAGAAAAUGACGGUACCUGACUAAGAAGCCCCGGCUAACUACGUGCCAGCAGCCGCGGUAAUACGUAGGGGGCAAGCGUUAUCCGGAUUUACUGGGUGUAAAGGGAGCGGAGGCGGCGAUGCAAGUCUGAAGUGAAAGCCCGGGGCUCAACUCCGGGACUGCUUUUGAAACUGUGUUGCUAGAUUGCAGGAGAGGUAAGUGGAAUUCCUGGUGUAGCGGUGAAAUGCGUAGAUAUUAGGAGGAACACCAGUGGCGAAGGCGGCUUACUGGACUGUAAAUGACGCUGAGGCUCGAAAGCGUGGGGAGCAAACAGGAUUAGAUACCCGAGUAGUC